rnacentral:rRNA from 1 species
AUACGGAAGGUCCAGGCGUUAUCCGGAUUUAUUGGGUUUAAAGGGAGCGUAGGCCGUCUGUUAAGCGUGUUGUGAAAUGUAGAUGCUCAACAUCUGAAUUGCAGCGCGAACUGGCAGACUUGAGUGUGCGCAACGUAGGCGGAAUUCGUGGUGUAGCGGUGAAAUGCUUAGAUAUCACGAAGAACUCCAAUUGCGAAGGCAGCUCACAGUAAUGUAACUGACGCUGAUGCUCGAAAGUGUGGGUAUC